rnacentral:lncRNA from 1 species
CUUCUCGGACCUGAAUGUAUGGAUAGCAACGGCUUCCAAACAAUCAAGGUAGGAGAUGAUUAAAUACUUGAAUAACAGGAAAUUUGCCUGUCAUGAACAAAUGGAAAGCAAUGUGAGGAUAGGUCACCAGGAGGUCUCUUCACGGAGAAAUGUGGGAUGCGCAAGCUAGUGUUUGUCCAGGGCAGCUGCUGGGAAUCAGAAUGUUAUGUGGUAGAUGGGUAUGUGUGAGGGGUUAGAUAUGCAUGACAUAUGCCAUAUGCUAAUGCAGUAUGAUUGAUUAUUUAAGUCUUUCUCUAAGCUUUUUCUUUUUCCAUUUUCUGUUUUUUCAUUUUCCGUUCUCAUCUCUUUUUCAUUCUUUUCUUUUCUCGCCUCCCCUAUCAUGUUUUGGUAUGCAACAUGUGAUCGAGGUAUUCCCGCAGGAUUCCGUGACGGUAAAAGAAUCAGGUGUUUGCAAAAGGCAAGUACCGGUGGAUAAAAGAAUUGAAAGGAUAUCUCUUGCAAAAGGCAAAGAGACAUUUUGCUAAAGGCAAACAUCUCAACUAAAAAGUUCCAUUUUCUCGCGACAGGUAGCGACGGCUCCUUAGAAAAAGAAAAUGAAUCUCCCAAGUAUAGUUAAGAUAACAAGGAUAAAUAGAUUUCUCUCACAAAAGGUGAUGAGAACUUCUUAACAAAAGGUUAAGAAGUGAAUGGGAAUGAUACGACCUUGUUGGGGGAUAUGGUUUUUUCGUACAACAGGUAGCAACGGCUCCUCUGCACACACAACAAAGGGUCUUCCAAACAAAAGGUUAAGAAGAAAGAUGGUCGAAUUUCUCACACGAAAGGUAGUGAGAACUCCUUAACAAAAGGUUAAGAAGAAAAUGGGGUAUGAGAUUCUCGUACAAAAGGUAACGGGAACUCCUAGACACAAAGUCUGCUGGGGAUUCUCACACAAAAGGUAGUGAGAACUUCUUAACAAAAGGUUAAGAAGGCGCAUGAAGAUGGACAUGAUCCCUCAUACAAAAGGUAAUGAGAGCUCCUUAACAAAAGGUUAAGAAGAAAGGUGAAAGGAUUUCUCAUACAAAAGGUGGUGAGAAACUUCUUAACAAAAGGUUAAGAAGAAAAUUGGAAGGGAUUUCUCAUACAAAAGGUAGUGAGAAACUUCUUAACAAAAGGUUAAGAAGAAAUCGAAAAGGAAAAUCUUCCCAUACAAGAGAUAGUAACGACUUCUUUGUAGGAGGAUAUUUCCAGGCCAAAAGAAGGGAUCACUUACAAAAGGUAAGCAAGUUCAAGAAUGACAAUGCUCGAGCGAAAGGCCGAGGAGACUUACAAAAGGUAAGCAGCUGGGGAUAACAAUCUUUAUGCAAAAGGCACAAAGGGGACUCACGAAAGGUAAGCUAGAAGUGGAAGACCUACCAUGCAAAAGGCAGGGAAUACUUACGAAAGGUAAGUAAAGGAAGAAAGGUCACAAAUAUUUGCACGAGGCAAAACAAAGAGUGGGACAAGACCUGCUAGGUAAAACCUAGACUAAAGGGGAUCUGCCAGACGAAUCUGGGCUUUGGCACACUCUGACAGGUGGGGAACUUUGCAAAUAGGUAUGAAAACCUCAUAUUGUCCCUCAGGCACAACGACGGGGAUGAAGCUCUCAAACAAUGGUUACCCAAACCCCGGGACUCACCAAACCUACAUCAAGUGUUUAAAUAAACGGGAUGCAAAGAUCUGACAAAGGUACCUUUCUCGUGCGAAAGGCAUUGAGGGGGAGACGUGAUUUCGUGCACAAAGCAACGAAAUAAACUCACAAAAGGUAAGUUAUCUCAAUAAUCUUCUCCAGGCGGAAGGCAAGGAGGACUGGCACGAGGCCGAAAAGGACUUACGAAAGGUAAGUGUCUGAUGAAAGACACCAAAGGGUACUUGCAAAAGGCAACACGAAGAGGAAAUAUCUCGGGAAAACCUGCGGGGAGUACCAAUCCAAGGAUCCUUGAUGAUGUUCUCGUUGGGGAGGAAGAACAUAUCAACAACUAAUUUUUUCCUUUUUUAUGCUUUCGAGAAAGACUUUUAUGCAGUUAUGCAUGUUUAUUUUAUAUGGCGUAAUGCUCCAUCUUGAUGGAAUAUGCUACGUCCUUUUGGGGAUGCAAUGUUAUAUAAUGCAUGAUUACUUAUGCAAUGUUGAUGCAGUUUAUGCAAUGGUCUGAAUGUAUUUGGGUACACCAAGUGUGUUUGGGUUUUUGAUAAGGCUUUUUGUAGGGAUAUGACUUCAAAGGUUUAUGAAAUAACAAUUGUCCUCGUCAAAGAGUUGACUGAAAAGGAAGGUCGUCAUCAAAGAGUUGUUGGCCAACAAUUGUCAUCGUCAAAGGGUUGACGGCGGCAUCAAAGAGUUGAUGAAAGGACUGUCGUCAUCAAAGGGUUGACGGCGAAGGAUUGUCUUCAUCAAAGAGUUGAUGGAAAAGGAUUAUCAUCAUCAAAGAGUUGAUGGGAAAGGAUUGUCGUCAUCAAAGAGUUGAUGGAAGGAUUGUCGUCAUCAAAGAGUUGAUGGAAUGAUUGUGCUUAGGUAAUAUCAUCAUCAAAGGGUUGAUGGUUUCAUCAAAGGGUUGAUGGUAGAUAGUCACCAUCAAAGGGUUUAUGGGAUGAUGCUUGACUUUGUAUGCAUAUGAUGCGUGUUAAUUUGAUGCAAUUUUUUCCAUCUCGGCGAGAGAGUUUUUUUUUAUAUGGAACUUCCUACCUCGACAGAAAAGUUAUGCAUGUAUGUUAUAUGCAAUGCAUUUGGAAAUGCAAGAUGGUGAUUAGCUCUUUGGGUUGGUCUCCCUUUUCUAAUGGUGAUAUCCUUUGGGUACCAACAUCGAUUGGAUUUGAAUUUGUGAGGAUGACAACAAAGUGGACUUUGGUUCUUUUGGUGGUUGCCAAUAAAGAUUGGACUUGUGGUUUGGGAAAGGAUUCGACUUCCCGACACUCGAUAUUUGAAGAUGCCAUGAUCAAAGGAUAGACGCGGAUGCCCUUGGUGCCCCAAGUUUGAUCCUCAGUCGAAGGUGCAUCUUUGUUCCCAAGAGAACUUCCAUUCCUUUGCCUGGUAUAUCAUGACAAGCUUGCAAAUGAUUGCAUGAGCGUAGCGACGUAAUCAAUGCAAAAUGAUUGUGCUCUUGUUUUGCCCCAGUUAGUAGGGUAUUCAAAGUAAUCUUCCUUAAAAGGAAACCUUGAGAGGGAUUAUACCAUGACAUGGUCUGAGAUGGUUUGCCCCAGUGUCUGAAUUUGCGCUGGUCUGCUCUUGCAUGGCCCCUUGAGGGAAUUGCCCCUGGUCAUCUGAGCAUUGAGGACUUGUCUCCCUGAUCCAUGAUGCUUGGAGGUUUGCUUUAGACUACCCAACUCUUUUGGCAACACAUUCGUUGGAUGUCAUGCCCCUGAUCCAUAGGGUUAUGAAACAAUCUUGAUUCGGGAUAGCCUCGGUCUCGACGGAUGUUCAAGAUCUUCUCUGAUUGAUCUAUGGAAUCUCCUUGACGUCAAGCACUAACUUGCAGUUAAAAUUGUUCAUUUAAAAAUGGUAAUUUUAAUGUGACAUUCAUGCAAGUUUUUUUUUGAAAGAAUCAUUUAUUUGAGAUGAUUGUAAUGACAAGUGGCGAGUGGACCAUUAGUCCAAACGCAAUGCUGAUUUGGCUAAUGUGAAAUAUGCAUCGAAUAAUAUCAACACAAAAAUAUUAGCAAAAUAUCUAGGAGUCGGUUUACGCAACCUUGCUGCAGUAUGCUUUUCAGAAUAAACCCUGCUUCAAUUAGGUCUUUUGAGGGUUGUAACGUGGCUUAGUUCACGGUUAUUGAAACAAAUGAUAUAAGGCUCAAAUUUGAUUUUAACCCACCCCUUCUUCGUGAUGUUCUCCAGUCCUACAUUCAGCUAAUUUCAACAUACGCAUUCUUCCUCCAAGAGAGUUUGACGAUGUAAGAGUGAAGAUGAUGAUUCAAGGUUCGCUUAAAAUGGCAGUCACCUUAUUUGUUUUGUCUUAAUUGAGGAUUUAACGACCUCUUUUGAUUUCUUUGUCUUUUGUUUUUUUCCUAAUUUUUGCCUGGACCUCUCUUUCGAGAUUUUUGUUCCACCGGGAUUACCCUAAUUUUUGCCUAAGUCACCCAUUUGGGGGUCCGACUUAGCGGGUUUUUGCUUUUUCCUUUUUUCAAGUUUUUUUUGAAGGGUUGUGACUGCCAAGUCAUUGGUUGUUGAAGAACCACCAUCAUAGCUUUUGGAUUCGACACUUCGGGACGUGUGUGAAGAGCAUCAUGUGAUUGAUCCCAAGACGAGAUAUUUCGUCUUGUAAUCCGAAUGCAUAGUCGAAUUAACUAAACACUACCCUGCCCCAGGUUAAGCGUAAGGGUUUUUAGAUCCGAAAGAAACAUCUACUUCUAGGCUCGAAGUGGUUAACUAGGGAUUAACUCCUUAUCUCUCCGGUGUUUGGGGAUUUGAAACAAUGCCUGUACAUCAUCAACAAGGUUUUAUCUGAAAGCAUACAAUCAGCAAUUAUGGAGGGAUUUGAAACAAUGCCUGUACAUCAUCAACAAGGUUUUAUCUGAAAGCAUACAAUCAGCAAUUAUGGGUAUCUUGUUUCGUCAUCCUCCCUCCAAUACUUGCUAAACAACAGUUUAAUAAAGUGAAUGGAAAGAUUUUUUUUGCGAUUUUUUUGUAAAUAAAUGAGAACAUAUGAGUGAAUACGAAUGGAUUCGUUUAAAACAUGCAUGCUCAUUUUUAUUAAUACCACCAUUUAUAAACAACAAUCUUUAAAAGCAAGUAGCACUUAACAACAAAGAGACUACAAAUGCAAAGUAAUGAUGUGAUACGAGGAUUGCCAGUGUUGGGGAACCAAACUUUCCUCUUUCGCAUUGUUGUCGGGCUGGUCUUCUUCAUAGUUGCUCAUCGAGACAAUAUGAGAGAUAGCAUGCACUGACGAACCUUCAUGACUAGGCGAAGGAUUGUUGCUGAUUUGAAGACCUCGAGGCGUAAAUGAGAACAUCUUGGAGUCAAGCAACUUUUGCACCUGGCUUUUCAGCACUUUACAAUCUUCAGUUGAAUGCCCCACCUUCAUGACUAGGCGAAGGAUUGUUGCUGAUUUGAAGACCUCGAGGCGUAAAUGAGAACAUCUUGGAGUCAAGCAACUUUUGCACCUGGCUUUUCAGCACUUUACAAUCUUCAGUUGAAUGCCCCUUGCCCCAGCAUGGAAGUCACAUCGGGCGUUGACAUCAAAGCCUGGUGGGUAUGGUGGAAUCACUGGACGUAGUUCCUUCGGUACUAUCAAUCCAUCUUUGAUCAAAUACGGCAGUACUUGACUGUACGACAUUGGAAGUGGAUCAAAAUGCCUUACUGGCUUCCAUGGCCUUUGUCGAGUGUGUUGACGCUGCUGAUGCGAAGCUUGUCGUUGAUUCCACGGAGAUCCUCUAUUUUCAAGAGGGUAUUGACCUUGUGGAGGGAAUGGCGCCUGAUAUGGAGCUUGUGGAGCUUCCCAGAUUGCGUUAACUUCCAUCUCCUCUUGCUCUUGGGAACUGACAAGGGAUUCAUUCUCACUAGCCUGGAUGUUCGAGAUGUCUUGGUUCUUUCCACUUUUGAGCAUGCUCUCGAUGCGCAUUCCUGCCGACACCAAGUGAGAAAAAUCGGGUGAAGUACUUCCUACCAUCUUUUCAUAGUACGGACCUUGCAAGGUAUCCAUGAAUAAGUCAACCAAUUCUUUCUCCAGAAGUGGGGGUUGAACUUAAGCGGCUAAUUCUCUCCAUCUUUGGGCAUAUCCUCUGAAGGAUUCGUUGCUUUCCUGAGAUAAACCUUGCAACUGCAUACGGCUGGGAGCCAUGUCCAAAUUGUAAUUGUACUGCUUCAAAAAGGCGUUAGCCAGGUCUGACCAUGAUUGGAUGUGGCACUUUUCUAGCUGUAUGUACCAACUCAGUGAUGCUCCACUGAGACUGUCCUGAAAACAACGAAUCAUCAGCUUAUCAUUGUGAGCAUAGGAAGUCAUUCUUCUGCAAAACAUCACCAAAUGUUGCUUUGGAAAACUAUCCCCUUUGUACUUUUCAAAAUUAGGUGUCUUGAACUUUGGAGGCAUUAUCAGGCCAGGCACUAAACACAUGUCUGAAGCAUUCAGACCGAAAGCAUCAUGCUCUUCUAUGGCUUUAAGCUUCUCUUCUAACACCUGAAAUCUUUCAGCAACCUUCACAUCUUGUAGAUCCUUGGUUUUCAUCACUGGGACCGCCCCUUGGGAAUUUUGUGCAGAGAAUGCAAAACUAUGAUACUCAAUAGCAUCACAAGAGGAGUGUCCGUCUCGGACAAUGGGACGCUCUUGUAUAAUCUGGUCCUCGACAGGGAUCUGUACAGGGUGAGUUUGGGCAAGAUUGUUUACUUGAGGUGGAACGCCGUUCUCAGUUCUUACCGUCCGUUGAACGUUUUCAUCUCUCCUUGCCAAGGCUGUCAUAGCUUCCACGAGUUGGUCCAACUGAUUCUUUAUCACAUCAACAUCCUCCUUUGACGCAAACUGAUUUUGCUCCAUGAUCUUUCAAGUCCGAUAUGAGCGUCGGGAAAUCAACUGCGGGUUAUGGACAAAGGAUGGAUGAGCUUGUUUUUGUUAUGGUUUGGAAAAUGAUAUGCAAAAUGAUGCAUGGAUGUAUGCGAAUUUUUCACUUUGAUGUAUGGAUGGAUGAAUAAAUGAAUGGACGGCAUUCAGGCGAAUAGAUUCAAAAGUUCGAGGUACGGAUGAAGGAUAACACUGGUUGCUUUCCAUAUCAGGGAUCUCACUAGGUAUGAUCUAGGGUUUUAGAUAGGGACCCCAAAGUCAUUGAUUCAUUUGGCUGUUUGACGCUUACGGCAAGAGCUUGUCGGUCGUCAACUCCCUCAAAUGAGCCUCUUCUGGGUGAGAUCUUCGUACCGACCCACGCGAGAAGAGCUUCUCGGGGACCCGCACUACGCGACCAUCGACAUCGGGUUCUAGACAAGGGUCUCAAAGUCAUGGAUUUCCUUGACUGUUUGCCGCUUACGGCUAGAGCUUGUCGGUCGUCAACUCCAUCAAGAAAAUCUCUUUUGAGUGAGAUCUUCGUACCGACCCACACGAGAAGAGCUUCUCGGGGACCCGUACUACGCGACCAUCAAUCUUAGUAGGCCAUAGGUUUAAUGUUCUACAACGGUCCUUAGAGUCAUGGAUCCAAAUGAAGACAUUGAUCGCUUACGCCAAGAGCUUGACGGUCGUCAACGUCUCCAAAAGAAUCUACUCUAAGCGAGGUUCUCGUAUCGACCCUUACGAGAAGAGCUUCUCGGUGGCCCAUACUACUCAACCUCUCCUAUCUCAAGUUUACACUCUAGACUCGGGUAGAGAGUCUUUCCCACAAGGUUACUUGCAAUCGGAGUACCAUCCAUCGAUAUCGUAGAACCAAUGGAACCAUAUACUAUAUUACAAAAUUUAAAGCAAAAGGCAAUAAAUAAAGCAGGCAAUCAAAAGGAUAGACAUACACACAUGCGAGGAAGCAACCUAGAUUAGGCUUGACUUGCUUAGGGAGGUGUCCCCAGCAGAGUCGCCAGCUGUCGCUACGCGAAAAAUAUAGAGUCGCCAUCGGUUUUUAUUUAUUCCAAUGGAAAGGGAAAAUAUCGAGAAAACCCCAAAGUAUGGUCGUCGCAACCACGAACAGGUUCGGAAGUCGGUUAUGCAAGGGGAAGGUAUUAGCACCCCUCACAUCCAUGUUACUCCAUGGGAACCAUCUAGGAUGUUUGCGCUUAUAUGUGUAUUGUUCAUCGAAUGUUUGCUUGCCAAAGGUUUGCGGAGUGGAGGUAGAUUUUAAAUUAAUGUGCUCGCCAAGGAAUGGGUCCUCGUGCCUACGUAUGCCCACUUGUUGAAGUGAGAAAUCAGAGCGUUCGUAGUUCGUGGUUUUGAAAUUGUUUGUGUUUGUUUUGUUGAUUUUAUUACCUUGAAGAAGGGUUUUCGAUUGUGUCGCCCUAAGGCUAAAACAAAAGGUUUGAAUGCGUUGAGUUGUUUUUAAGUUUUGAAGAAAGUGUUAUUGAUUUCGGAUUGCACUAAAGACUAUGGAUAAAGGUGAAUGCCUCAAACGGUCAAGCCGAACGUCUUGUGUUCGAAGCAUUCAGAAUGAGUGUAGGAAAGCUCCAGUCUCAUCCCUUCUUUAUCGCUUAAGGCUCGUGACGUACGAUCCUAAUCGCCAUUUAUUGUGUUUUUGGAUUUGAUUUGGAAAAGACCGCUUGACGUUGGAUCAAGGGUUUGUUCAUUCGUUUUGAUUUGAAAAAUAGACCACUUGACGUUGGAUCAAGGGUUUAAUUAUUGGUUGCGAAAUGGUGAAUGUUCCUAAUGCCUAAGGAGUAACUAUAAAGCAAUAAAAGAAAGCGAGUAAAAGCAUACAUCGAAAUGGGGAUGGGGGUACAUGUAAAGUACAAGGGAGUGCUAAAAAUAAAAGGUCUCGUUGUCAGGUAGCCCAAGAGAAAGUCAUGUGUGUGCAAUUGUGUACUAAACUAGAAAGCAUGCAAUUUGUCUUGAAUUUUGAAAGCUCCUUUCCAUGUUUGGGUUGAAUGAUUGUCCAAGGCCUCUUGCAAAGGGUCCUAAUGAGUCUCUAAGUCCAUUGUCCAAUGUCCCUUACAUGCUAAGGAAUUAUCUUAUUUUUGUAUUUUUUAAGUCUUUGCCUUUUUAUGUUCAUUUUAGAAUGAGAUGAAUAUGUACAAUAUGAGUAAAAUAAAAGUGAAAUAAAGGGCAAAAUUUAAAUGUUAGAAACGGAGAUUAAAAGUUAGAAGCGAAAAAGUAAAGAGUUAGAUGCGGAGUUAUAAAGUGUUAGAAGUUAGAAAUACGAAAAUUAAAGGUUAGAAGCAAAAAUUAAGGAAUUAGAAGUUAGGUGUUAAAUGUUAGAUGUUAGAUUAAAGUAGAAAUCAUAAAAGAGUAUUUAACAAAAUUUAAAUUCUAGACGAUUAUCAACAAUUAAUUCCAAAACAGUUAUCAAAAUUAAAUUCUAAAACAAAUAACAAAUCAAUUCCAAAAUUGAAUCAUCAAAGCAAUUAACAAAAAAACAAAUUCUAAAACAAUUACCAAGUCAAUUCUAGAAAUCAAUUCUAAUUAAAUUCUAAACAAAAUUAACUCCUAAAUUCAAUUCUAAACACAAUUAAUCCUAAUUAUUUUUAAUAACCAAUUAACAUUUCCUAAGAUUGAUCCUAAUUAACAACUAAUCCUAAGUCUAAUCCUAAAUAAUCUAAACCAACUAGCUAUAAAACAAGGUAUAUGAGUUUUAAAGGUGCAGAAUGGGCCUCGGGAACAUUUGGCCCAAACCACAGGGAGGGUGCAAGCUGGAAAAACGGGGUGUGUUUGUGCAAGCAGCACGCCUGAGAUGAUAGGGCCUUCUUUAAGGCCCAUCCGAGAUGCACAAAGCUGUGAGGACGCUACUUCGUCUUUGCCAAAAAACAUGAACAAAAUGCAACAAAAUGAAAUACCUCGAUGCCUCGCUCAAGCCAACGCGUAGAGAUGGCAGCGGUAUGUUGACUCCGGUAACGGGAACUCUCGAUCGUCGGCACCGGAGAACCUCUUCCGUGACAACCGUAAGAUAUCACGUCGUCUAGAUCCGUUAACCUCGAAUCCACGUCCAACAUUCGAUACGGCGACUUCCGCUAAGACGUUCUGAUCUCCUCCUCCGAUCGUGGAAUUACGAUUCUGAUUCGUCUUCUCUUCUUGACUUCAAUCCGUGUUUCUUCUGCUUGAAACAGUGUUGUGGCGGCGUCGAUUCCAGACACGCUAGAUUCCGUCACCGGCGGCAGCGAUCCAUUCCAACAACUAUCUAUAUCCGCGCUCCUCAACUAACCUGAAACAAAAAUAAUCGGCCAAAUUGGAGCAACCGCGAGCGGUAAAAGCAAGAUCGGAGGUUUCGUCGGCGGCUUCACUUUGAAAUUCCGGUAAUGAAUGUUGCAAGCUUGAAUCGCCUUUCUCCUCCUUCUUCUUAUAAUACAAUCCUCUGCGGCGAGGUAUUGUUUGCUAUCGAAAAUGGCGGAUGAACCGUCAGAAGGUUGAGGAGGAUUGAAGCGGUGGUUAACCGUUUUGCGAGUUUGUUACGGUGAGGGUUUCGGUUGUGUAAGAUUGGAAGAGAGGUGAAUUAAAGUGGUGAAGGUUGGUGAUGAAUUGAGGUUGAAGGUGGAGGAAGGUUCUGUGAAUGGAGGUUGAAGAAUCCGGCAGUUUGUGAUGAAGCUUGCUUUUAUAGAGUGAUGAGUGUGAUAUUAGAAGCAAUUCGGAAGAAAAUUCUGUUAUGAAUUUGUUAUUAUUCUGUGAAAUUAUGCAGGUGUGGAAUUGGCUUUUGCUGGCUCGCGUUUAGCUUGUUGUUGUACCGGCUUAUGGAAGUCUUGGCUACGCAUCGUGUGGUUUAGUGUUUUGCUUUGCGGUUUACCGGCUUGGAAGCUUUAGCUGCGUUUCAAUGUGAAUUUGCAAGUUAUUUUGGAUGGGCGUGUUGCCGGCUUUUAUGCAGAAUUUUUGGUUUGAUUGUAGUGCAGAAUUUUUGUUGAAUUGUAGUGCAGAAUUUUGUUUUUAUUAUGCACUGUUUUGGUAGCCGCGUGAGGCUUUGUGGCUUAUGGCUUGUGAUGGUUUUGGAGUUGUUGUACAGUGUUUGGAGCUGGCUUUGCAGC